GAAUUAAAUUGUAUCAAAAUAUUGAAAUGUCAUUUGCUAUUGUUAAAUUUUGAAGUGGAAAAAUUAAAGAAGUGGAAGUGAUUGCUAAAAGUUGGAUGAAAAAUGAUGGGAAAUGCUUUUGACCCCCAUUUGAAAGUUACGCUGCAAUUCGUAAAGGUGUUACUACCUUGCAGGUACCAACCUCUGAGUGGAAAAUAUACCCAGCUAGGAUUUUAUACACUACAGAUUUUUAUCAAGAAGCUCGGUCGCGCUUAGAAAAAGCAGCAGAUACGUCGAAUAUUGAAACUGACACUGAAGAGGAAAAAGGGACUAAGCAAAAGAGAAAGGCAGUGAUGGCAUUCUGUGAAAGUGAUGAAGAUAUUGUUGUUAGUGAUGAAGAAUUAUACGGAAGACAUUAUUUGAAGAGUUCAAAUAGCCAAAGAAUAUGUAACAUUAUUCCAAAUAUAGCAGAUAGAAAAUGGCUCCAAAAGUGUUUUGGGUAAAGAGGAUAGCAGAGAAACAAAUGUUGUCUUGUCAAG
rnacentral:lncRNA from 1 species